GGCAAGCUUAUUUCAACAAGGGUUGUUAUAGUGCGAUUCACCGAAGCAGAGGCAACUGUAUCUGCCAUCCUGGUGAAGCUGAAGGUGGCCAUGGGAGACGAGGAAGACUACAUCCUUACAGACAAUGAAAUUGUGGAGUCAGAAGGGACAACUGGGUCUUUGUACUGGAGGCAGAAUUCAAGGAAAAUCCAUGGUAUUGAGAGUACCGCAUACCGGCAAUGGCGUCGACGACGAUCAAGUAACAGAAAUGACCAUGUCCAAAGGCUGAGGGACAAUGUGGAGGAACUGCUGGAGGCAUCCCAAGGGCUGGAUGAAGUGGCUAAGAAAAUAACCGACUUGGUGUCACCGUCAGUCGUGGUUCUCCACUAGUUUGGCCUGAAUUCAAACAGGCAUUCAUCUGUUUGAUUUGCAGAGGUACUGUUUUCAUUCUGCAUGUUUGAAUAUUGCUCAGUGUA